rnacentral:rRNA from 1 species
UGGGGGGACCACCCUCCAAGCCUAAGUACUCCUCAGCGACCGAUAGUGAACCAGUACCGUGAGGGAAAGGUGAAAAGAACCCCGACGAGGGGAGUGAAACAGUUCCUGAAACCGGAUGCUUACAAACAGUGGGAGCCCAAGGUUCGACCUGGGUGACCGCGUACCUUUUGUAUAAUGGGUCAGCGACUUACAGUAGCGAGCAAGCUUAAGCCGAUAGGCGUAGGCGCAGCGAAAGCGAGUCUGAACAGGGCGUUCAGUUCGCUGC